AUGUGAGUGAGUCUCACAGAUGUAAUAUUGAGUGAAAGAAACCAGACACAAACCAGAGUCCAUUUACAUGAAGUUCAAGAACAGGCAAAACCAAUUUAUGGAGCUAGAAAACAGAGUAGUGGCCACCUCUUAGUUGGAGAGGGAUGAUGAUUUUGAUUGGGGACAGGCAGGAGGGAGUCUUCUGGAGAGCUGAAAAUGUUCUCUAGCCUUCCUCUGGGUGGUGGCUACUUGGAUCUGUGGCUCCUAGCCUCCAAGAAGGCCCCCAAUCCUCCCCUCCUCUGGUGGGUCCUUGUGUAGUCCCCUCCUACACUGUGUCAGGACUGGUCUGUGUGAUCAGUAGAAUAUGGCAAAAGUGCUGGCAUGUCCCUUUUGAGGACAGAUCAUAAAAGACGUUGUGGCUCUGCCUUGCUCUCUCUUAGGUCACUCACUCUGGAGGAAGCCAGCUGCCAAGUCUUGAGGACACUCAAGCAGCCCUGUGGAGAAGCCCAGAGGGAGAGGAACCAAGGCCUCCUGCCAGCAGCAUCUUGGAAGCAGAUGCUCCAGCCCCGCUCAAGCCUUCAGAUAAUGGAAAGAGGGGCCCCUAAAGGCAAAGGUGCCCAGAGCUCACAAAAGUCACAGUGCAGACCUGAGCAAAGGAAGGGGUGCUAUGGACUGAAUUUGUAUCUCCCAAAAAUCCGUACGUUGAAGCCCUGUUCCCCAGUGUGAUGGUAUUGGAGACAGGACUUUUAGGAGCUAACUAAGGUAAGUGAGGUCCUAAGGGUGGGGCCUUAAUCUGAUAGGAUUGGUGGUCUUAGAAGAAGAGGAAGAAGAAGAGAGAGCUCUCUCUCUCUCUUCACACACAUGCACUAAGGAAAGUCUGUGUGAGCACACAGCAAGAAGCUGGCCGUCUACAAGCUAGGAAGAGAACCUUCACCAGAAAGUGACCUGGCUGGCAUCUUGGUCUUGGCCUUCUGAGCCUCCAGCACUGUGAGAUACUAAUUCCCGUUGUUUAAGCCACCUAGUCUGUGGUAUUUUGUUAGGGCAGCCUGAGCUGACUAGUACACAGGGAAAAAGUGAAAAAAGUAAGCAAGGUGAAGAAGUGCCAGGUCCAUGAGCAACUGGCUCAGAU
rnacentral:lncRNA from 1 species